GGAGAACUGCUCUGAACCACCAAAAGAUUUACGAGCAACACCAAUACCAGAACCCCCUGCCUCGGCCUCCGCAAGGACUUCCUUUAUCAGUUCUUCAGCCCUGGAGAUCUGUUCAGAGGUGCCCGUAAGUUCCACCAGCCUAGUCUGCGAAUUAGGAACAACUUCACUAUCUCUGGUUACUUGAAUUCGGGCCCCUGAUUGCACUUGAAGAUACUUUAUUGUCUCCCCUCCUUUGCCAAUGAUAACACCAACCCUUCCAUUAGGAAUAUCAAUUUUUCUACAGGUUCCCUGGUAUCCUCCAUAGGAGCCGUAGGUUGCUGAAGGUGUACUAAUUUGGGAUGAUGGAUGUUGGGUCGGCGGCUUCUGGUAAUAGUCUGAUACCGGGGGAGCAAAGUCCUUCUCACCAGAAUCAUCAGCGCCACCAUCGACCUUGGGGCGCUUUGAUUCUGACUCGUGAAAAAUCCGGGCCACGAUCUCCUGCGCUCGCUGCUUGGCCAGCUCAAUCCCCUCGAUGGGUGGCGGGACGUUGUUGUACGCGGGCGGAGCCGCCGCCGGGGCACCAUCGGGAGAGGCAGCGGCGAUCGGCGCCGAGAAGCCCGUGGGGCGACGCGGCGGAGGGGAGGGAUCGUCGAACUUCCGCUUGUUGUCGGAGCGGGAGGGGAACUGGAGCUCGUCCGCCAUCGGAGAAGAGGGGCCG
rnacentral:misc_RNA from 1 species